CGGCUCCAGGCGCCCCGCACUACCCGUGGAACCACGGGGAAAGCAGCCCGGCCCAUCCCCCACGCUGGCGGCUUGUUUUCCUUCCACAGGCGGAAGGAAGGGAGGGAGAGAGCACUCGCACCCGGGACUGACCUUUGCUCUGUAAACUGUUAAAGCCUGAGCUUGGUAGGCUGAGGCCAGAUGUUAGAGACCCACAGGAUUAAAGAAUGUAAGCUUCAGGAAAAGAAACCUUGUUGUCUAGUGGAUAGUCAGCUCCUAGACCAGGACUGAAGCAUAAGAGACCAAGAAUAAUUGGCUUUUCCGCUUCUUGCUUCCUCUGCGUCCAGUGACAUUCUACCAGAUAUUUUGAUGGCUACCUUGCCAUCAGCUUCAAGGAUUUACAUAAAAUUCGCCUUUUUGUUAUGGAGUACCUACCAUAGAUUCAGGAGAGAUAACAGGUAAUUUGGAGAGGACUGCUGUGUAUUCACGGAGCUCUUUGGAGAAAGAAGACAAUCUUUGUGCAGGAGAACUGAGAUUUCCGGAGAAUCAUACUAAUUAGUGAAACUGAAGGACAAAUUGGAGAAUGUAUUCCUAAAAUAUUUUGGUAUGUAUUGAUGUCUAUGCACUUAACAGUGCCUUUGCUUAGAACACUUCAUCAAGCCUUGGUUUCAUUUUUGUCUUUCAAGAUCUCAGUAAUUGCCCCAUUUCACCUUGUCUAGAUUGGCCUCCAUCAAUUAAUCUCUAUCUCCUCAAUGUGUUAAUUUCCUCUGUGAAAGUUUUCACAAUUUGUGAUUAUUUUUUCUCUCUGUUGAUUUAAUUGUUUAUUGGUCUCCUGUAUCAAGCAUGGAAGUUUCAUGUAGGCAUCAAACUUUGCAUUUUAGCAGUAUAGGUUCAGCAACUUGCAUAGUGGCUGACACACAGUAGGAGUUCAGUAAAUACACAUUGAAUGUAUUAAUAAGUGAAAUCAAACUUAACACUUUUUUUUUUUUGGCAAAAUUUCUACUGGCUCAAAAUCACCUUAAGUGAUAUGUUUUAGUGUGUGCAAAAAUCAGAUAUUCCAAGAAGUCACUCACAAAUUAUGUGAAGGAAUUAUUUAUUAUUACUUCUAGUAUAAGACUUGUAGAAUUAUGACAAUAUUUAUGCAAUAGCAAUAGGGAAACAUAGAGUAAUAACUGCUGAAAGAAAUGAUAAUUCUUUUCACUUUGCCAUCAUUUACAUUUUUGUCAACUUUAGAAAAGGAGAAAAUGGUGAGAAAAAUCUGUAAAGAGUUUACACACAAAAGAAUAUUUCAACGAAGGAAAAUAUGUCAGCUUACUAUACCAUAUUUUGUUCUUUCAAAAUAUUACAAAAUUGACAUAGGACAUAAUGUUUGAUGUUCUAAGAAAAAUACAAUAUGUUUAGGAAACUGUAUAUGUGAUAUGGAUGCAUCACUAUGAGAACUACAUAAGGAACGGCUAACAUUUCAAAAGCACAGAUUUUCAAAAUGGUAUGUAUAUGUGUCUAAAAUUGCUGGCGUACUAUAAUUAAUUUUUAUUCUAUUUUAAAGGGUCAUUCACUUAUCUUUUACAGACAAUUUUCACAGCUUAUCAUGAAUCCUUAGAGCUGCUAUGGUUAGGCCAAUAUAUUUACAUGAAUAGUAUGUAAAUGCAUUUAAGUAUUUAAGUAUAGUGUUCUUGAUAUAGCCUAAGGUGUCUCAUAUGAAUAUAUCCAACAUUUUGCUUUUUGAGAGAGAUAAAUGUAUUUUUAUGCUUCAUCACACAUACUAUAAAUAUCCUUUAUGCUUGUACUGUAUUCCCACCUUGCUUCACAUCAUUCAUUUAAUUUUUUUAUAUAUGCAGCAUAAUAAAUGCAUGAUGCUAAAUUCAAACUUUGUAAGAGUCUGACCCACGUUAAGUCAAUUUCAUAUCUUUCUCCGUGCUUCACUGAUCUGGUCAGAAUAUGUUCUUCUUUGUAUAUCAACAAGGAUUCUAUUCUGUGAUUGAAGCUAUAAAAUCAGAUGAGAACCUGGGAAAUACCAGAGAAAUAUUGUUCAACAGUAUUGUAACUGUGAACAAUUUUUUUUUCAAUUUUCUUUCUCCAAAAAAAAAAAAAAAAAGAACCUUCUUUGAGAUUACUUAAAAAUCACAGAAGGCUAAAGCUAGUUCUACCACCUAAUUUUACAGAUGAGGGAAAUGACACACAAGUACUGAUUUAAGGUCACAUUUCAGCUAGUGGCAGAAACAAGGAUAGCACCCAAUUCUACCAGUGCCCAAACCGAUGUUCUCAGGCCUCUCUCAUCUUUGCUGGUUGUUUUAGGAAGGCAUAGAAAUGGUGGUGUAGUGGAAAGAAGUGAAUGAGGGCUGUAAUAGAAAGUAGCCCUAGGCUCUUGUACUUGUUAGCUGUGUGACUUUGGCUGUGGGACAAUCCCUGUGAAACUCAGUUAUCUUAUUUACAAUAUGUCAACAAUAAUAACUGACACAUAAGAUCAUUUUCAGAAAUGAAUGAAAUGAGGUAAUAGAUACUGCAUACAGUGCCUUGCUACAUGGUAGGCAUUCAAAUGCAAAGUACACAUUACUAUUAUGACUAUUUGUCACUAGCAUUAUUUGUGUGGAGAAUCAUUACUAUAAGCAUGAGUGAUCGUACAGCAUUCUACAGUAGGACAUGAUCACUUGGAGGGAAGAGCUCACCUGACAUUGGAAGAAUCCAGCAUGGGUUUGGCAGACUGUGGCUGCACCUUCGGUUUAGAAGUAAUUAGUACUACUCAACCAAGGUAAUCUGGAAAUUGGCUCUCAGACCACAUUUGCAAUUUUAUGUGGAGAGAAAUGAUUCAAUAUUCAGUAAUGGUUAGGUACGUUAUAUGUUCAACCCUGAGGUCUUUGUGUAAAUAGGAUUGUUGUCGAAAUGGAAUAGAAGUUUUGUGUGCAAAAUGACAGUGGGAGCAGCCCGUUAAUCAGAUUUACACAGAAAAGGAGGGGAUGGUGCCCUCAUGUGAAUGCCAAUGAGAAGAUGUGUUGAAUGUGGAAAUCAGUUAUUUUUAAUGUUAAAAUAAAUAUUAGCAGUAAUAACUAGACAUAGAGUUGUCCUUCCUGCCUGUAUGUUUCAUAAUGCAGAAAAGAAUCCAAUGUUUGUUUGUCAUGUUAUGUUUGAACAAUAUUUAUCACUUCAAAAAUUCACUAAAAUAGCUUGUAAAUUAAAUAAAUUUCAUAAGAUUAUACAGUGAUUGAAUAAAGAAUGGAAAAAUUAGGGAUAAGCUGCAUGUGAGGAAGAAGUAUUUUGGAAUAAUGACCACUUUUGUAAUAAUAAAGGUGAUGAUAAUAAAAAAUACUUCACAGGUCAAACCAUAUGUGUGUUGAUCUGGAUGUGAUUCAUGACUUUGCAUAAUUUUGUUAUUACUGUCAGCAGGACUUUUACUGGAGAAAAUACUAUCCUAGUAAGAGUGUUAAGUUGCGGUAUCUCUAGAGCUCAGUUUCCCGCAUUUAAAAUAAGAGGAGUUGCACCAAAUGACCACUUAAGUCUCUUCUAACACUAAGCCCGGAAAACAAUUCUAUUAUCGAUAUGACAGUCUUUCUUCCUAUACCUGGACCCAGAAUCCAUCAGGACUGGAUGAAGCUUGAGGGCAAACAGUUCACCCUGUGAGGUUCAAUUAUAGAUCAGAUCACAUCAGGAGUAUUGGAGGAUGUAGGAGUGAACCCAGAGAUACUGUUUCUAUAAUCACUGCCUAUUUUGUUCCUGACCCUUCUGGACAGUAUAAACCUAUACUUCAAGAGGAAAUCCCAAAUUCAAGGCCAGAAGCAUAUGCGCAGUUUUCCAGAAUUGGGAAGUCAGUUGCAGUGUGCUAACCCACUUCCUUGGUGGCUAGGGUAUAAGUCACAAAAUCAGCCUGUUUUUUUUUUUUUAAUGCUCACAUACCUUGACAUGCGUAGCUAAUUACAUCACAAUUUAUCCUCUAUCUGUGGAUUGUCUGGAAAAUGGCUAAACGUAUUCAAUGGUCUUCAAAUCUCAGGCUUUCAAAUUCACAAAAUUUUAAAGAGAAUCCAUUCCAAAUUUCCUUUGUUUAACCUAUUCCAGAAAUCAAAGUGCCUUUAGGUAUAAAUGACAAGAUAAUAGAAUUCUAAGUCUUCUCUGCAGUGAAUAUUACACUUUCAUUUUGCACAGUGGAGCUUAAAAUGCCUCACUUUAUGCUGAUGGUGGGCACUUUUGCGUUUUUCAUCCUCUUACAGUUAAAACAUAUGACGAAGUGGCCACUUGCAAAAAGAGAUGAAGAGAAUAAGUGAGCAUGAAAUUGACAGAAACUGAGACCAUAUUAAAUACUAAGUUUGUGUACUUCCAUCUACCUCUAUUUGUAGAUAAAACUUUUAAUUUGCUAUACCAAGAAAUUCACAUGGACAGAUUACUUUUUUGGUUAAAAUUAGAUAUCUUGGAGAAAAAUAUAAUAAUCACAGUGAAGACAGGGUGGAAAUACAAUAAUCCUCAUAAAUAAAUGUAAAUAAAAUAUGUAGAUAUGUAUAACAUAGCCAUGUAUAACAUUUAAUGAUACAUAAAUAGUUCUGAAAAAUAUAUGCUACAAAAGGAACUUAAAUGUUAAAGUUUAAUGCAUUUUUCUAAAAUAAUUCAUUUAUGUAGCAAUACGGGUCUGGCCACAGUAAGCAAAUUAUGUAUAUUGCACGAUAAAAAUAAAACAAAGAAAAAUGCCUUUUCUGAAUAUAAACUUUAUUACUUAAAUUAGUGUAAUUUUGUAUUAUAAUAAAUGUGAAAAGCAAAAUUGGUAUAAAUACCCUUCCUACUAAAAUAUGGAGAGAAAUCAAAAUGAAGCUAAUUCUUUUAAAACAAAUUUCUGUAAACAGAUUGUUACCAUAAGUGAAGUGUUCUUUCUGCUGAUAAACAACAUGUAAAGUUAAAGAGAAGAACAUAAAAGCAGUAAUCACCAUGUACCAAAUAUCAUUUCAGGAAAUCAUUUUAGAAUCUUCUAAGUCAAACUGGAUUUUUAGCUCGUGAUUAAAAAUAACUGGUGGCUCCCUUGACACACUAGGACUAGUUUUCAAGUCAACCAAUAUAAUUAACACAUAAAUAUUAUUUAAAAGGUUAUUUUACAUUUUAAAUGUUUCUAAAUAAAUUCAACUAAGGUAUAUGAAAUGUCUGUGAAAUACAUGGGAUUUCUUUAUGAAGACUAAGAAACAGAGAUAAACUAGGAUAAAAGUUAACAGAAUUUCAAAUUUCAUCUAAAGUUUCUUAUAAGAAAAAUAGAUCAUAAUUUAAAAAGUAUAUAAAUGUAACUCUUUGUAUUUUAGAAUUGUUUCUACAUUAGGUUGAGACGCUGAAUCACCCUGAAGACCGGACAGCCUAUAAGUAGUUAUGUUUUCCUAAGAGAUAGAAAAUCACCAUGUGAUGGUUUUUGAUCAUGGCCUCACUUUGAUUUGUAACACUUAAUCCCCAUUAAUUUAGCUAUUAAAAAUAUUUUCUAAUUUUUUAAACUUUAUUUAUUUCUUUAUUUUGAGAGAGAGAGAGAGAGAGAAAGAGAGAGAGCGGGGUA